AUGUGCACAGAUGAUUUAUGAGAAGCACUAGAGCGUAACUUGUGUGCAGAAGGCCGGACGGGUCACAGAGGUGACUCCGGUAGAGUGAUAAUGAUAGAUUUUGAGCUCUAGGUUCAACCGUAUAGGGCUAUUAGAGGGCCUACGGUUGAUUACUUUCUUGCACCUGAUAUGAUUAUGUUGAUGCAUUCAUACCUUAUUACUGUUGAGAUGAUGUGGCAUGGCAUAAUUAAUAUGAGAAAUGUUGAGAUGACAUGGCAUGGCAUGAUUGAUAAAGAGAUAAUGUUGAGAUAGUAAAAAAUGAAGUUUUGAGAAUAUAUAUGUAUAUUUAUAUUUUACAUUUCUGGGAAAGUAUACAGGUUUUACGGAGAGGGGUUACAACGUUUUGAGAAAUGUUUGGAUUUGGAAAAGAAUUGUUUUACUGACCCACUCAAUUUUGGUUUUGCGCCCCUCCAGGUUCAGGAAUCACAAAGGUGUGGUGACUACGAGGAAUUCGACGGUGUUCUGACAGAUUGGACAAAAUUAGGACUCACCUUCGGGUGUAUCAACUUAUAAAUUAUAUCUUAAAGCUUCCGUACUGUGCAAAUGGUUACGUCACUCUCACGUGACGGCCUCAGAACACCGUCGAAUUCCUCGUAGUCACCACACCUUUGUGAUUCCUGAACCUGGAGGGGCGCAAAACCAAAAUUGAGUGGGUCAGUAAAACAAUUCUUUUCCAAAUCCAAACAUUUCUCAAAACGUUGUAACCCCUCUCCGUAAAACCUGUAUACUUUCCCAGAAAUGUAAAAUAUAAAUAUACAUAUAUAUUCUCAAGACUUCAAGUCGUUAACUCAACAUUUUCAUACAAUUAUGCCAUGCCACAUCAUCUCAACAUUUCUCAUAUUAAUUAUGCCAUGCCACAUCAUCUCAACAGUAAUAAGGUAUGAAUGCAUCAACAUAAUCAUAUCAGGUGCCAGAAAGUAAUCAAUCGUAGGCCCUCUAAUAGCCCUGUACGGUUGAACCUAGAGCUCAAAAUCUAUCAUUCUCACACUCUGCCGGAGUCACUCCGCGUGACCUGUACGGCCUUCUGCACAUAAGUUACGCUCUAGUGCUUCUCAUAAUCAUCUGUGCACAUAAUCUAAGGUCACCCACCAGUCGGAAUCUCACUAACACUCUCCCGACUGGCCUGUCGUACCCACUCCGCGUGGACUGUACGACUAGCAUCUACUUGGAUCCAAGACGAGCGUGCGAUGCGGUGAAUACUAUAAGCACUAAACUAUGGUGCAGGAUUUGAGCUCAAUAUACAUCAACAUCAUCAUAACAGAAAUAAAUACUCACAUGUGCGUCCACCGCACCAUUUCAUACAUAUGCAUCAUAAAUCAAUUCUUACCCGUGCGUCCACCGCACCAAUUCAUACAUAUGCAUCAUAAAUCAAUUCUUACUUGUGCGUCCACCGCACCAAUUCAUACAUAUGCAUCAUAAAUCAAUUCUUACCUGUGCGUCCACCGCACUAAUUCAUACAUAUGCAUCAUAUAUUAAUUCAUGCAUGGCAUUUCAACUCACAUUUCUAAAUACUUUUCAUAUCAAUUCUAUGCAUGGUAUUUCACUUCCCGUUUUUCCACAUAACUCAUAUGCAUUUCAUUUUAAACAUAUUUUCAUUUCAAUUCAAUUUUUGGGAAACGUCAAGUAUAUAUAUAUACGGAAAACAAAACUGCCCACUCACCUGGAGUUCGUCCAACAACUCCCUAGCACCACACAUCAAGGCGUCACGACGAUCGCCGCCUAGAAUAGUAAUCAAAUCCAACCUCAGAAUUCAUAGUGAUAGAAUAUAUAACUUAUAUAAAAUACGUCACUACGUAGUUCGAUCCGGAAGAUCUGCCACUCAGAUUUUAAAUCCAUAACUUCCAGAGGUCCACAAUAUAUCUCUAGGAUAACAUCCUAAAAUUUCAUUUCCAUCCAACGGUCGGAUCUCCGUCAAUUUCCAAAAAUAAGUGACGGUUAACAUUUUAUAUUAUGGACUUACAAUUCCAAUUCCGGAAGAUCCGUAACUCGGAUUCCCAAUCCGUAAGUUCCAAUAAUCCUCAAAUAUUACGUAUUACAACGUAUCAAAGUUUGGUAACGAUCCAACGGUAGGACUCACCUUCGGGUGUAUCAAUUUAAAUUGUAUCUUAAAGCUUCCGUACUGUGCAAAUGGUUACGUCACUCUCACGUGACGGCCAGCAUGCCCUCCUUCGGGACGGGGUGUGUCAGUUGGUAUCAGAGCAUGGUUGCAAUCUUGGACAUUUUGAGAAGUUCUAGUGAAUUCUGUCAGAACUACACCGCCUCGUAGCAAACCACGUAGUUAGAGGAACUUAGUCUCCCUGAUUUAGCGGGUUAGGGGAAACUAUUCUUAUGGUGAUUCAGUAUAUUAGAAAAAUGGACAUUUUAAGACGGGUUAUGAGUUGAAUUUGAAUCACUUAAGAGAAAUGAUGAACCUGAGGGAACAAAGUGACGGAUUAACCAAUUGGAAAAGAUGUUUCGGAAUAUGCAAGUCAAAGGAAUCUUCCUUCUGACAAGGGGUCGAGACGACUACCUGGUUUUGGUUAUGAAUUUGUAUCCUGGUGGAAACAGGAGUAUGAAUUGUUGUCACCAGAGGAAUCAGUCGAUUGAGAAUAGUUUAAGGAAUAUUUAUAUUUUACAUUUCUGGGAAAGUAUACAGGUUUUACGGAGAGGGGUUACAACGUUUUGAGAAAUGUUUGGAUUUGGAAAAGAAUUGUUUUACUGACCCACUCAAUUUUGGUUUUGCGCCCCUCCAGGUUCAGGAAUCACAAAGGUGUGGUGACUACGAGGAAUUCGACGGUGUUCUGACAGAUUGGACAAAAUUAGGACUCACCUUCGGGUGUAUCAAUUUAAAUUGUAUCUUAAAGCUUCCGUACUGUGCAAAUGGUUACGUCACUCUCACGUGACGGCCAGCAUGCCCUCCUUCGGGACGGGGUGUGUCAGUUGGUAUCAGAGCAUGGUUGCAAUCUUGGACAUUUUGAGAAGUUCUAGUGAAUUCUGUCAGAAACUACACCGCCUCGUAGCAAACCACGUAGUUAGAGGAACUUAGUCUCCCUGAUUUUUAGCGGGUUAGGGGAAACUAUUCUUAUGGUGAUUCAGUAUAUUAGAAAAAAUGGACAUUUUAAGACGGGUUAUGAGUUGAAUUUGAAUCACUUAAGAGAAAUGAUGAACCUGAGGGAACAAAGUGACAGAUUAACCAAUUGGAAAAGAUGUUUCGGAAUAUGCAAGUCAAAAGGAAUCUUCCUUCUGACAAGGGGUCGAGGACGACUACCUGGUUUUGGUUAUGAAUUUGUAUCCUGGUGGAAACAGGAGUAUGAAUUGUUGUCACCAGAGGAAUCAGUCGAUUGAGAAUAGUUUAAGGACUUGUUUAAAGGAAAAGUUUAUCCCUCCGGCAUUUAUCGAUGGUAGUAAACAAGAGUUUACAAAUAUGAGACAAGGAAGGUGAUGAUCGAGAGGAUAUUAUAGAAAGUUUUCAGAUUAGCCUCGUUCCAUCCAGAUAUUGUUUGUUAAUUUGGUGGAGGUGUUAUGUUGUUUUAAGCUGCUGGGUGACAAAAGGGAAGUGGUAUUUGGGUGACCACUAUCCAUUGUAGUUCUUAUCAGGAGUAUGCUAGAUGUUUGUUGAAUCUUGAGGACUCUGAGAACAUGAGCAACGAGAAUAAAGAAGAAUAAGAAAUGAAUGGGAAUUAAAAGAAGACGAUAAAGUUAAUGAUUCGUCAUAUCAAGGAUAUAGAAAGAUUCAGAGCUUCGAAAGAAGUGAAGCUAGAGUUAAUUCUUCCAGCUGAGGUUUUAAUGUCGCUGGUCAGAAUAAAAGUGAUGGAUAUACUGGUAAUCCCAGAUAUUUGAGACAAGGUGUCUCGAGUAAAGGAAAUGUACCUUGUGCUGCAGGUACAAAAAUUAACACUUUGGAAAGUGUGAAAUUAAUGAAUGUGUUUAUGUGAACAGAGGGGACACAGAAUUGUGAAUCGUCCCUAGAAUCAGUUGUACUCAAUAAUUUUCCAUGAUAUCAUAGUGUCGAUUCAGAAGAGUUAUAAACUUAGUAGUUUGGUCAGAUUGACUGUGAGUACAGAGAGAUUUGAUGAGUUAUAUGUUCAGCCGUACAGGCCACGAGAAGUGGAUUCGAUUGACACAUGCGAAAUUGGUGAGUUAUAGGCUCGGCCGUACCGACCACGCGGAGUGGAUCCGGCCGACGUAUUAUUUGAGAUAAGAGUUGAAUCAACCGUAUUGGUCAUUCUAGUUGACUUCGGCUGAUAUAUUUCUUAUGAUGUAUGUUAUUACCUAGAGAGUAGUAAAUAAAUGUAGUUGAGACGAGUGUAUGUAUUUUGCAUUGAGUGACAAAAUAGUAAUGUUAUAUCUUUGUGAGUGGUUGCCUACUUAUCGAGACAACGAUGAUUUAUCAGUAUUGCGGGCUGCAGACCGUAAUAUUAAUAACUCAUUCGUGGAUUCGUUAAGUAAGUAAACCGGUAGAUUAUUUUGUACUUAUUCAGAAUGCUUAGUAGUAAUAGAAUAUAUAUUGUAUCAGUUAAUUAUGUUCCAUUAGAUUGGUUGGUUAUAAUUGUGACAAGACGAAAUGUUAUGGGAAACCAGUACUUUCCAUCGAUCUGGAUGAACAGAGAUUACUUUUGUAAGUAUGCAAAAUGGAUUGAGUCAGGCUGUUAUUUAUGCUGUGUGAGAGCAAAGAGAUUGUUUUCGAAAGGCUGUAAAAAAUACUUAGCUCAUGUGGUGCUAAAUGAUGUUGUUUGGAGUAGUGUGAAUAAUGUCGAAAGAGUUAGACUUUUCUUGAUGUCUUCCUUGAAAGUAUACCUGGAUUGCCUUCAGGCAGAGAUAUGAGGUUCAUUAUUGAUUUGUUGCCAGGUAUAAAUUUAUAUUGGAGAUUGGUUCAUGAUGAGUUAAGGGAAUUGGAAAUUCAGUUGAGGGAAUUGGUUGAUAAAAGUUUUAUUCAACCUAGUACAACACUUUUGAGGAGCCCCAGUUUGUUGGUGAGGAAGAAAAUGGAUCUUGAGACUGUUCAUUGAUUAUAGACAAUGGAGUCGGGUAACGAUUGAGAACCGUUAUCCAUGGUGAUGUACUGAUGUUUAUUUAACCAGCUCAGAAGUAAUUGCGAAGAUUCAAAGAUUGAAUUGAGAUCUGGUUACUACCAAUUGAAUAUUAUAAGUGACGUUGAUCAUAAGAUGGUUUCUGGACUUGUUAUGGUCCUUAUAAAGUUUGGUGAUGCUAUGUGGAUACUCAUGCGGUUUUAUGAAUUAUUGGAUGAAGUAUUCCAAUAAUGCCUUGAUAAAUAGAUAUCAUUUUCAUUGAAGAUAUUCUGGCAUAUUCUGAGCCAGAGCAGAGCAUGUAAACGUAUUAAGUCGGUAGAACAAAGAUUGGAAGAAUGUCGAUUGUAUGCUAAGUUUAGCAAAUGCGAAUGUUGGAUGAAUCAAGCAGCAUUUCUGGGAUAUGUUAUAUAUUCUUAAGGUAUUCAAGUGAAUCCUUAAAAGGUAACAGAAAUUAAAAUUUGGAACAACCACGAGUCGUAAUUGAGAUUUGGAAUUUCUUAGCUUACCAGGCUAUCUUGGAUGGUUGUGAAAGAUUUUUCAGUCAUUGCUUUGUCAUUGAUGAGACUGUUGAGAAAAGAGGUUAGGUAUGAGUGGGAAGGAAUUGUAAGCAAAGGAUUCAACAACUGAAGUAUUUCCUCACUCAUGCACGUAUUUUGGUAUUCCCAGAGAAUAGUGGUAAUCAUAAAUUUUUAGUGAUGUUUCUUGAAUGGUAUUGGAGGCAUGUUGAUGCAAAUGUUAGGGUGAUUGCAUACGUUUCACGAUAAAUGGAAUCUCAUAAGAUGAAUUACCCUACUGGUGAUUUGGAAGUCACGAUUACCAUUCUUGCUGUGAAGUUAUGGAGACAUUAUAUUUUAGUGGGAAUGCAAGAUUUUUUUUUUUACGAAUCCAAAAAGUCUUCAAUAUCCAUUACUUGGAAGGAUUUGAUAUGAGGCAGCGAAAGUGAAUUGUAUUGCUUAAUGAACAUGAUUGUACGAUCAGGGUGAUCGUAAAGUUUGUUCUAGCUGAAGCACUUGGUGAGAAGACUACAGUAAGAUUAAUAUCUGGCAUGUUUGCCAAGAGUAUCAUCUUGUGGAUUGAAAACCAACGGAAGAAAAAUUAAGAAUGGAAGAUCGAGAAGAAGUUAUACUUGUUAAGUAACAAGUUAGUACAUUUACUCCAGUGUUGAGUAACAACCUUUCCCAGACAGUGCAACACUACUUAUUUGUUUUAUGGAAAAGAGAAUUGGAUUACGGAACUGCUAAGUUUCUUAAGUAUGUUGGUUGUGCAGUUUCUGAAGUAACGCCAUAAGGACCAUGAAAUGUGUCACGUGAGUCGGUUUUUGAUGACUUGUGAAUGGAAUGUUUCUGGGUAGAGAAAGAUUCGAUCAAGAAAGAGUUUUAGUAGACCCUGAGACUAUGGAUGAGUCUCCUCAAAGUAUUCAGGUGAUUAAGUUAACCUGAAGUAACCAGGAAUGGCAAAAGAGAUCAACAGAUGGAUAUGCCACUAAUCAAGUGUGUAAGGUAAAUGGUUUGAUAUUUUUGGAAAUUUCACCAUGAACAGAAAUAGUAAGAUUCAGAAAGGGAGACAAGAUAAGUCUUGAACACAUCAGUCCGUUUUGAUCAUUAAAGGAAUCGACGAAGUUGCAUACAAGUUUGUGAUGCCUUCAGAAUUGGCUAAGGCACAUAAUGUAUUUUGUGUUUGAUGCGUUGUCACUAGGUGGCAGAUUUGUCACAUGGGAUUAUGGUGUAACUAUUGAGAAUUAAAUUGGAUUCGACUUGAUAAGGAACCAAGGACGACUUUGGAUUGGAAAAAGAAGGUCCUGAGAAUUAAGACAGAGUAAGUAGUAAAAGCUUUGUGAAGGAAAUCAUUCAGUAGAAAAGUAUGUGGGAGAAAGAGAAUCGGAUGAGAGAGAUUUACCCGAAGCUAUUGUUGGAGUAUGGUUGAUUUAGUUGGUUGCUGGAAUUUCGGGGACGAAAUUCUAUAAGGAGGGGAGAUUGUCACAGCCCGUUCCAAAAUAUUACAUUCGUGGCUGUGAAUGGACGAAAUUGCCCUUAAGAAAUACUAAGUAUGUGAAGCUCAAGUUGAUAAUUAUCUAAGUUCCUAAGUUUUGAAAAUAAAAUGGAAUUUAAUAAGGAUGGAACUUAGAUUUUUAGGUUAAAAUUUUGUGGUUUAGAGUUAGGGAUUAGAAAAGGACCACGUGGGAUCCCCAUUCCUUAUUUCCCUCCCCAUUUCCCGUAUACUGUCCUUCACACUCUCUCUCUCUCCUCCCUCACGAUUACUCUCAGUUCUCUCUCCCUCUCCUUCGAACUCACACGGACCACCACAAAACCACCUAAAACCUAUACCAACGACGAAUCUAACACCACCAUUGGAACCCUGAAGACUUCACGAUCACGAUGGUAUCCAUUUCAAGUAAGUUUUGCUUCGGAAAACCCUAGUUUCAAAGUUCCCGUGAAAUGGUACUGUUCAUGAUCUUUUAAAUGGUUACGAUUUAGGCUAAAACAAGAUCACAGCGAGCUUGGUGAGGUCCCAAGGAAGCUCGGAGUGCUUCGUUGGAAGUUUUUGGACGUAAGAACACGGAGAUCGACAAGUUCAAAGUUUGGCCGGAGCUUUCGAGGCUUUUUCCGGAGAAUACCCGGCGAGUUAGGAGUCGAGGUAGGUAUCAAUAUCUUCGUCUCGUCAAGUACUACAACUUUCCUUUUUGUUUCACUCAAUUUAGUUGAGUAUUGAAGAAGUUAUACUCAUUUGAAAAAUACCCAGUUUCCGGCGACCUCCGAGGCUUUCGAGGCAGUUUCCGGCCAAACCACGGCGAACUAGGUGUUGUGCAAGGUACCAUUCUCUUUGUAUAUUCCAGGGCUACAACUUUCGUUUUUGAAUCACUUGAUUUCGUUGAGAAAUGACAAAGUUAUGGCAAUUUGAAAAACUGCCCAGAAAACGGCCGCCGGAAAAACCAGUCCGGCGACCCAAGGAAGAAGAAGGUGCUACAGUAAAAAUAAAAAAUAAAAAUAAAAUUAUUUUAAAAAUAUGUCGACGUCCGUGACGUCGAGUAGAUCACUGUGGUAUAUUCAUAUACCUAAAUUGAACACCGUAUGAGAAAGUUAUUGAGGAUUGUUGGUUAGGUGUUCAAAUAACGUUUUAUAGUUUUCACAUUUAGGUGAAAAUGUGAAUUGAUGAUCCGACCGUUGGAUCAUCACCAAACUUUGAUACGUUGUAAUACGUAAUAUUUGAGGAUUAUUGGAACUUACGGAUUGGGAAUCCGAGUUACGGAUCUUCCGGAAUUGGAAUUGUAAGUCCAUAAUAUAAAAUGUUAACCGUCACUUAGUUUUGGAAAUUGACGGAGAUCCGACCGUUGGAUGGUAAUGAAAUUUUAGGAUGUUAUCCUAGAGAUAUAUUGUGGACCUCUGGAAGUUAUGGAUUUAAAAUUUGAGUGGCAGAUCUUCCGGAUCGAACUACGUAGUGACGUAUUUUAUAUAAGUAUAUAUAUCUAUCGAUAUGAAUUCUGAGGUUGGAUUUGAUUACUAUUCUAGGCGGCGAUCGUCGUGACGCCUUGAUGUGUGGUGCUAGGGAGUUGUUGGACGAACUCCAGGUGAGUGGGCAGUUUUGUUUUCCGUAUAUAUAUAUAUAUACUUAACGUUUUCCCAGAAAUUGAAAAUGCAUGAAAUUAUGUUUAAAAUGAAAUGCAUAUGAGUUAUGUGGAAAAACGGGAAGUGAAAUACCAUGCAUAGAAUUGAUAUGAAAAGUAUAUAGAAAUGUGAGUUGAAAUGCCAUGCAUGAAUUAAUAUAUGAUGCAUAUGUAUGAAUUGGUGCGGUGGACGCACAGGUAAGAAUUGAUUUAUGAUGCAUAUGUAUGAAAUGGUGCGGUGGACGCACAGAUGAGUAUUUAAUUACUGUUAUGAUGAUGAUGAUAUAUAUUGAGCUCAAAUCCUGCACCAUGGUUUAGUGCUUAUAGUAUUCACCGCAUCGCACGCUCGCCUUGGAUCCAAGUAGAUGCUAGUCGUACAGUCCACGCGGAGUGGGUACGACAGACCAGUCGCGAGAGUGUUAGUGAGAUUCCGACUGGUGGGUGACCUUAGAUUAUGUGCACAGAUGAUUUAUGAGAAGCACUAGAGCGUAACUUGUGUGCAGAAGGCCGGACGGGUCACAGAGGUGACUCCGGUAGAGUGAUAAUGAUAGAUUUUGAGCUCUAGGUUCAACCGUAUAGGGCUAUUAGAGGGUCUACGGUUGAUUACUUUCUUGCACCUGAUAUGAUUAUGUUGAUGCAUUCAUACCUUAUUACUGUUGAGAUGAUGUGGCAUGGCAUAAUUAAUAUGAGAAAUGUUGAGAUGACAUGGCAUGGCAUGAUUGAUAAAGAGAUAAUGUUGAGAUAGUAAAAAUGAAGUUUUGAGAAUAUAUAUGUAUAUUUAUAUUUUACAUUUCUGGGAAAGUAUACAGGUUUUACGGAGAGGGGUUACAACGUUUUGAGAAAUGUUUGGAUUUGGAAAAGAAUUGUUUUACUGACCACUCAAUUUUGGUUUUGCGCCCCUCCAGGUUCAGGAAUCACAAAGGUGUGGUGACUACGAGGAAUUCGACGGU
rnacentral:lncRNA from 1 species